rnacentral:ncRNA from 1 species
AAUUCAAGCGCCAGAGCCGCAGAUCGGGCGGCUGACGAGGCAGGAGUUUAUCGAACAUUCGGCGGAUGCUCCUCGCCCUUUCGUUCAGGGACGCAGGCCUUUUUACAAAACGGAGCGGCCAACGCUCCCGACAAAAGAAAGG